rnacentral:rRNA from 1 species
GAUGAACGCUAGCGGCAGGCUUAAUACAUGCAAGUCGAGGGACAGCACAGGUAGCAAUACUGGGUGGUAACCGGCAAACGGGUGCGGAACACGUACACAACCUUCCUUUAAGUGGGGGAUAGCCCAGAGAAAUUUGGAUUAAUACCCCGUAAUAUAGUUGAAUGGCAUCAUUUGAUUAUUAUAGCUACGGCGCUUAAUGAUGGGUGUGCGGCUGAUUAGAUAGUUGGCGGGGUAACGGCCCACCAAGUCUACGAUCAGUGGCUGAUGUGAGAGCAUGAUCAGCCACACGGGCACUGAGACACGGGCCCGACUCCUACGGGAGGCAGCAGUAAGGAAUAUUGGUCGAUGGACGCAAGUCUGAACCAGCCAUGCCGCGUGAAGGAUUAAGGUCCUCUGGAUUGUAAACUUCUUUUAUUUGGGACGAAAAAGGGCCUUUCUAGGUCAACUGACGGUACCAGAUGAAUAAGCACCGGCUAACUCCGUGCCAGCCGCCGCCGUAAAAC